GGACGCUGUGGGAGGAAGCGGCUGCUUAGGGCGAGGGCUGCCCACCAGCUCGCGCCCGCGGCACCCACAGCGUGUCGUUAUCGUUAUCGUUAUCGGCUGCUGGGGCAGGGCAGUCGGCACGCCCACCGCCUUGGCAGUUCUGUAUGGAGAAAAUUAUUCAUGUAUUUGAAAGCGUGACAAGAGAGAUCAAGAUCUUCCAGCUGUGGCGGCUCAAUGUGUUGUACCACAAUACCUACCCCUGCUUUUUCUUUCCUAAUAAUCGAAGCUCCAACUACGCCAGCGCCCAGUAGAGUUAAUUCUUUCAAUCUUUACAUUAAAUCGUCACUGUUUAAA